AUACACACACACACAUUGUUGAAAAUGGCUACUUCAAAACCGAUGAAUCAAAAAUGUGCCGCACACGGAGCAGAAAAUCAGCCAACACAGAGCAAUCAGACUUUACCUAUUUUAUUCUUUUUUUAGCACUAAAAAAAGGAGACGCUUACCCUUACAGACUAGGUGUGAAUGUGACAGAGUCUAUACAGCAUCUGAUCAAAAACGGGAAGAUUUGUUUACUAUACUCAAAGAAUGCACCCAGUAGUCAUCAGAUGUCUGACGUCAGUUUUACAUCAACUAAGUUUCUAUUUCCUUGGAGACAGGAGUCUGAGGAGUUUCUGUAUGUGUUACAAUUACAAGGGCUUUUGUGUGAAAAUAUGAAAAUGUAGUGUGUGAAAGCAUGUGAGUGUACUUGACCUUGAUAAGCGCCUCAACAAUAUACACAGUCUCUUUCACACACAGAGUCAGUCUUUUUUCUUCUAGUUUCUAGUCCUAGUUAUGUUAUCCAUUGAUUUAUUCACAAACGAGUCUACCAGUAUAUACAUAUACACAUAUAUACAAGUUCACACAAUAGUUCCUAAACUUUUAAGUAUAUAUGAAAACAGGAUUAACAACAACAGUAAUAGCAAAAACUUUCAAUAACGUGCAACUGAGUAGGAUGACUUUGUCAAAAUGUACAUGAUGUGGAUAUUAAACUGUAAAAUUAUAACAGGAAAUGUAGAAUACGGUGAGUCGGUGCAGAGGAAGUGAUCUGCAGUAGUAGCGGAAAUUUUUAUCAAACAUGUCUAAAAAACUGCAAUAACUAUAUGUAAAUGCCAGUAGGGAAGUAAACAUUUCUUGAUUUUGUUGAGAGCAGUGAUUUGAUUCACUAAUUUAACAGCAGAAUGGACUUUUUUUUUGUACAUUAUAUUUUUUAAAAUGUUUAGAAUGAAUUUAAAAGAGCCAGAAAUGAAUUGUGGUUCUGUUGAGCAUUGUGAUGUCACUUAGGCUGACUUGUCAUCAGAGACUUUUGGAACGUUUGUCAAUAAGAGAGCAGUUCCUAUAGGAAUUCAUCCAUUUGAAGAGAGAGACGUCAAAGAUAUUACUGCAAGAAAUUCAGUUGAGAAUCAGGUUUUCAAUCAUGCUAAGAAGAAGUGAACGAUUGAGAACCAAUGGCUAUUAUGACAUCAAUGGAAAACCAGUUGUGUCAUAUUGAGAGACCCCUUUCAGAAGGAGGCGCAGAACAGGUCGCCCUGUAAACCGACCUGUAAAUCAGGAGGGGACAUUUAGAGAGAGUCAAG